rnacentral:lncRNA from 1 species
GGAAGAAGAAUGAAAAAGAAACAAAAAUUGAUCAAUAUGGAAGAAUAAAGAAGAAGAAAUUUGAAAGAAGAAGAUGUUUUUGUUCCCACGUUCGGGGUUCUAGAAUGGAAGAAAUUUUAUGAAUGUAAAUGAUGAAUUUAAGGACAUCCAGAUGAAAGAAAUUUGAUGUAAAAUUUUAUUUGUUAUAAGUCUUGUAGUGUAAAUUAAUUAAGAUUGAACACCUUAAUA